UACGGAGGGGGCUAGCGUUGUUCGGAAUUACUGGGCGUAAAGCGCACGUAGGCGGCUUUGUAAGUUAGAGGUGAAAGCCCGGAGCUCAACUUCGGAAUUGCCUUUAAGACUGCAUCGCUUGAACGUCGGAGAGGUGAGUGGAAUUCCGAGUGUAGAGGUGAAAUUCGUAGAUAUUCGGAAGAACACCAGUGGCGAAGGCGGCUCACUGGACGACUGUUGACACUGAGAGACGAAAGCUAGGGGAGCAAAUGGG
rnacentral:rRNA from 1 species